rnacentral:rRNA from 1 species
GGAUGAUGUGGAUUAAUUCGAUGCAACGCGAAAAACCUUACCUACCCUUGACAUGUACGGAAUCCUGCUGAGAGGUGGGAGUGCUCGAAAGAGAACCGUAACACAGGUGCUGCAUGGCUGUCGUCAGCUCGUGUCGUGAGAUGUUGGGUUAAGUCCCGCAACGAGCGCAACCCUUGUCCUUAGUUGCUACGCAAGAGCACUCUAGGGAGACUGCCGGUGACAAACCGGAGGAAGGUGGGGAUGACGUCAAGUCCUCAUGGCCCUUAUGGGUAGGGCUUCACACGUCAUACAAUGGUCGGUACAGAGGGCUGCCAAACCGCGAGGUGGAGCUAACCCCAGAAAACCGAUCGUAGUCCGGAUCGCAGUCUGCAACUCGACUGCGUGAAGCUGGAAUCGCUAGUAAUCGCGGAUCAGCAUGUCGCGGUGAAUACGUUCCCGGGUCUUGUACACACCGCCCGUCACACCAUGGGAGUGGGUUUUGCCAGAAGUAGGUAGCCUAACCGUAAGGAGGGCGCUUACCACGGCAGGAUUCAUGACUGGGGUGAAGUCGUAACAA